rnacentral:rRNA from 1 species
CCUACGGGUGGCAGCAGUGAGGAAUAUUGGUCAAUGGACGAGAGUCUGAACCAGCCAAGUAGCGUGAAGGAUGACUGCCCUAGGGGUUGUAAACUUCUUUUAUAUGGGAAUAAAAUGUUCCACGUGUGGGAUUUUGUAUGUACAAUAUGAAUAAGGAUCGGCUAACUCCGUGCCAGCAGCCGCGGUAAUACGGAGGAUCCGAGCGUUAUCCGGAUGUAUUGGGUUUAAAGGGAGCGUAGGUGGAUUGGUAAGUCAGUGGUGAAAGUUUGCGGCCCAACCGUAGAAUUGCAGUUGAAACUGGGAGGCUGGAGUGCAGUAGAGGUGGGCGGAAUUCGUGGUGUAGCGGUGAAAUGCUUAGAUAUCACGAAGAACUCCGAUUGCGAAGGCAGUUCACUGGACUGCAACUGACACUGAGGCUCGAAAGUGUGGGUAUCAAACAGGAUUAGAUACCCGUGUAGUC